UCCCCUCCGUGUAUCUCUCUCUGUUUGCUGUGCUCAUUUUGAGGUUUAUAAAUGUGUUUAUAUGUACUGUAUACAUGUGUUAUGCUCGUGUCUCUCCGUGUAUCUCUCUCUGUAUGCUUUUCCAGGUUUUGUAUCUCUCGGUAUGGGUUAGGGUUUUGAUUUUUUUUGUGCCUCAAAUUUGCUUUAAUCUGGUAUAUAUAUGUUUAUAUGUCCUUUAAUCUGGC
rnacentral:lncRNA from 1 species